UACGUAGGGGGCGAGCGUUGUCCGGAAUUACUGGGCGUAAAGCGCGCGUAGGUGGCCGCCUAAGAUGGGCGUGAAAUCCCCGGGCUUACCUCGGGGGGGUCGUCCGUGACUGGGGGGCUAGGGUCCGGCAGAGGCGGGUGGAAUUCCCGGUGGAGCGGUGAAAUGCGUAGAGAUCGGGAGGAACACCAGUGGCGAAGGCGGCCCGCUGGGCCGGGACCGACACUGAGGUGCGAAAGCGUGGGGAG
rnacentral:rRNA from 1 species